rnacentral:rRNA from 1 species
UAGGGAAUCUUCGGCAAUGGGGGGAACCCUGACCGAGCACCGCCGCGUGAGUGAAGAAGGUUUUCGGAUCGUAAAGCUCUGUUGUUAAGGAAGAACGAGUGUGAGAAUGGAAAGUUCAUGCUGUGACGGUACUUAACCAGAAAGGGACGGCUAACUACGUGCCAGCAGCCGCGGUAAUACGUAGGUCCCGAGCGUUGUCCGGAUUUAUUGGGCGUAAAGCGAGCGCAGGCGGUUAGAAAAGUCUGAAGUGAAAGGCAGUGGCUCAACCAUUGUAGGCUUUGGAAACUGUUUAACUUGAGUGCAGAAGGGGAGAGUGGAAUUCCAUGUGUAGCGGUGAAAUGCGUAGAUAUAUGGGGGAACACCGGUGGCGAAAGCGGCUCUCUGGUCUGUAACUGACGCUGAGGCUCGAAAGCGUGGGGAGCGAACAGG